CCAGACUCCUACGGGAGGCAGCAGUGGGGAAUAUUGCACAAUGGGGGAAACCCUGAUGCAGCGACGCCGCGUGAGUGAAGAAGUAUUUCGGUAUGUAAAGCUCUAUCAGCAGGGAAGAUAAUGACGGUACCUGACUAAGAAGCCCCGGCUAACUACGUGCCAGCAGCCGCGGUAAUACGUAGGGGGCAAGCGUUAUCCGGAUUUACUGGGUGUAAAGGGAGCGUAGGUGGCAGGGCAAGUCAGAUGUGAAAACCCGGGGCUCAACCCCGGGAGUGCAUUUGAAACUGUCCAGCUGGAGUGCAGGAGAGGUAAGCGGAAUUCCUAGUGUAGCGGUGAAAUGCGUAGAUAUUAGGAGGAACACCAGUGGCGAAGGCGGCUUACUGGACGACUACUGACGCUGAGGCUCGAAAGCGUGGGGAGCAAACAGGAUUAGAUACCCCUGUAC
rnacentral:rRNA from 1 species